rnacentral:rRNA from 1 species
GAUGAACGCUGGCGGCGUGCCUAAUGCAUGCAAGUCGAGCGAACAGACGAGGAGCUUGCUCCUCUAACGUUAGCGGCGGACGGGUGAGUAACACGUGGAUAACCUACCUAUAAGACUGGGAUAACUUCGGGAAACCGGAGCUAAUACCGGAUAAUAUAUUGAACCGCAUGGUUCAAUAGUGAAAGACGGUUUUGCUGUCACUUAUAGAUGGAUCCGCGCCGCAUUAGCUAGUUGGUAAGGUAACAGCUUACCAAGGCAACGAUGCGUAGCCGACCUGAGAGGGUGAUCGGCCACACUGGAACUGAGACACGGUCCAGACUCCUACGGGAGGCAGCAGUAGGGAAUCUUCCGCAAUGGGCGAAAGCCUGACGGAGCAACGCCGCGUGAGUGAUGAAGGUCUUCGGAUCGUAAAACUCUGUUAUUAGGGAAGAACAAAUGUGUAAGUAACUAUGCACGUCUUGACGGUACCUAAUCAGAAAGCCACGGCUAACUACGUG